UUUUUUUUCUGGCUUGCUCCCUGCAAUUUUGCACAGGGUGAAUUUGCCAAUGUCGGUGUUGACUUUCACACGUGAGGAGAAUGUUGGGUAUAAUAAUUUUGCAUUUUUGGGAGGAUGUGGUUGGGGAAACCUAAAAACAAAUAAUUGUUAUGAACAUCACAGACAAACACAUGACGAAUACAACGAUUAGCAAAAAAGCGGGAAGCGGAUGACAGAACGUUAGUAGUGCCAACAUGAAGGAAGUGGAAGAGAAGAAAACGAUAUGUAUAACAUGGAAAUAUAGAGUAUAGAAUAAAACGAGUAUAGAUUGACAUGAAUUAUACGCAUUAAAUUAGAAAAGACACUAUUUAGAAUUUAAUGUUAUUUGUUUGUAAAUAUUUAAUUAGAAUAGAAGUUAGCUUAGUAUCCAUGUGGCAAAGAAGCGAGUUAAAGCAUAUAGGUCGUGGAACAUUUUCGGGUAAUACAUCGUACAGUGAGUAGCUACAUUUUGUACAAGCAAAGAAGAUGUGGUCCAAGUUGCCCUCAUCCAACCCACAUUCACACAAUGAAUUCGCACGGACACCAAUCAUAGCCCGAAAUAAUGGGGUACAUACUUUGCCUAAGCGUAAACGGCAAAUGGUGGAUAUUACCCACUUCGGAGAAGUACGGAAUCGAUAGAACCACGGUUUUCGAGUAAUUCGAGGUUGUACACAGCCAUAAUGUUUACCAAUCUAGAGAUAUCCCAUUGCUUCUGCCAUGUAUUAAACAUAUCAGAUAGCGCACAACUCAACAGCCUCAAGAAUAGCAACUGCCUCACCUGUGAAAAUGGACGCUUGAGAAGGACAUUUAAAUGGGAGGACGAUAUUGUACCGUGGAAUUCACACCGCUGCUCCCACACAUCUUGCAGGAUCCACCUUAGAAGCGUCAGUAAAAACCGUGACCUCCAGUGCCAGCGCCUGCAAGCGUGGAAGCAGCAAGUGGUUGUUGUAAGAGAUGGCUUUGAUCAAGAACCUGUCGGC